GAAAUUAAACAAAUAGAAGCUUCCCGAAAAUAAAAGAUCUAGAAAUAAUAUUUGAUAUUGCACUGCUUUAUGAUAUACUGUUGCAUUAGUAUAUAAAAAUAUACUUCUAGGGGUGAAAGACCUUCACUUUUAUAGAUAUCUGGAUAAAUAUUAAAUAAAUUUAGUUUAUAAGAUAGUUACAGUGUGAUAAGAUAUUGUAAAAAGAAUUUGUAGCAAAUAUUUUAUUGGCCCUUAACUAUUACUUAGUGGCGUUUAAUUUAAUAAUAAUACUUUUGUAUUUAAAAUUUUCUAAUAAUAUUUUAUCAUACAAUAUAGCUAAAAGAUAGAUAAUGUACAAAUCAGUAAGCAUAAUAAAUUAGUUGAAGGAACUCGGCAAAAAAAUUAUACGACUGUUUAACAAAAACAUAGCCAGUAGAAAUUUUAUUAUUGGUGUGACCUGCCCAGUGAACUUUCAACGGCCGCAGUACCCUGACUGUGCAAAGGUAGCAUAAUCAUUUGGCUUUUAAUUGAAGUCUGGAAUGAAAGGAAAAACGUAUAAGAACUGUCUUCAAAUCUAAUUUUGUUUAAGUUACUAAAUAAGGUGAAAAUUCCUUCAUAAUAAUAAUAGACGAGAAGACCCUUAGAAUUUUAAGAAAACUACGGACUGUACAGUGGAUGAUUUUUGUUGGGGCAACAUUUUUUCAUAAAAUAAAAAUAUCCGUUAAAAUACAUGACGAAAGAGAUUAAUAAAGUAUAAAUUACCUAAGGGAUAACAGCAUAAUUUUAAGUAAAGAUUGUGACCUCGAUGUUGGACUAGGAACUAUUAAGGCUAAUCG
rnacentral:rRNA from 1 species